AGUGAACGCUGGCGGUAGGCCUAACACAUGCAAGUCGAACGGCAGCACAGUAAGAGCUUGCUCUUACGGGUGGCGAGUGGCGGACGGGUGAGGAAUACAUCGGAAUCUACUUUUUCGUGGGGGAUAACGUAGGGAAACUUACGCUAAUACCGCAUACGACCUACGGGUGAAAGCAGGGGAUCUUCGGACCUUGCGCGAUUGAAUGGGCCGAUGUCGGAUUAGCUAGUUGGCGGGGUAAAGGCCCACCAAGGCGACGAUCCGUAGCUGGUCUGAGAGGAUGAUCCGCCACACUGGAACUGAGAAACGGUCCAGACUCCUACGGGAGGCAGCAGUGGGGAAUAUUGGACAAAGGGCGCAAGCCUGAUCCAGCCAUACCGCGUGGGUGAAGAAGGCCUUCGGGUUGUAAAGCCCUUUUGUUGGGAAAGAAAAGCAGCAGGUUAAUACCCCGCUGUUCUGACGGUACCCAAAGAAUAAGCACCGGCUAACUUCGUG
rnacentral:rRNA from 1 species